AUUACAAACUCAAAAAAAGAAAUGCCAUAAAAAGGAAGGGGGGAUUCGUUACAUUACUAUGAAUUUGUGCUGCAAACAAAUAUUUUCGAUAAUUCAAAACAUGAAAAGUGCAGAAAAUACUCAAAACAUAAAAGAAACCAGAAAAUUGACGACUUUAAGACGCUUAUCAAUGUAAUUUUAAGAGUUAUUUUGUCCCAUUCUUUCGUUACACGCUUUCUGCCUCCAGCACAUAUACCAUAUAUAAACAAUUCGCGCUGCUCAGCUGUUACUAUUCACUAAUGUGACAGCUAAUGUCAAACAAAAUUAUUUGUUGUCAUAAAAUCAAACAACAAGUCUAUUUCCGUGUCAUAGAUAUCAAGUAAUCAUUUUAUUAAAUUCGAGAAGCAGUUCAAUUUAAGCCGUUUCGCAUUCAUCCAAUAAGUUAAACAAGAAUUUUAAAAAAAUGUUCUAAUAAAAACAAAUAACAAUAAAUUUCUUGUCAACUUGAGGUUUGACAACCAACCAAUUUUCUUUCAAUCUACAUUUUUUCCCAAUUGUUCAAAGUGGAAAUGCUUCCAACUGUGACCAAUUGCUUUUAUUUCAUUAGUUUGAGAACUGCCGGUCUCAUUCUGGGUGUUAUAAGCAUUUGCAUAGAAAUAUUUUAUGUCGCCUUUGGUGUGAAUUUGAUAGUAAUGCUACUCUUCAUGGCCACUUCUUUUGCAUGGAUAUACGGCAUCUUAACAAACAAGCCAAUGUUGAUGGUCCCGAAUCUGGUUAUUCAUUUAGUACCAGUAGCAGUUCCAAUAUGUACUUAUGUGCUCAUGGCGGUCUUUGGUGAUCCCCAAAGAGAUUAUGAGACAUUUCUUUGGCUGAUCAUUUCAGCUUUACUUCUACACUUUUGGAUAGUUCAGUAUUCCCUUUACAAAUCCAUGGUUAAACUGCAGUCGUCCGAAGGAAAUAAUGAAGUGAAUCGAAUGGAAGUUACAAUGUUUCCCUUGUGAAAAAUCAUAAUUGAAAUGACUAUUUUGGGAUGUCUUGAAUGGUGCUUUAUAUGAAAAUGACUUUCAUGAUUAGUGAUAAUCGGUUACAUAUAAACUAAUGAGUUCUCUCAACAAAAACAAAAAUGUGGAAAAAGGUUGCACUGAAAUAGCCUUGAACAAACAAUUAAGAAUAAGAGGAUCCAACUUAAUUGUUAACUGAGCAUGGCCUAUUUGAUACACAUAUAACUUGCAUAAGUUAAAAAAGUAUACCGACUCACCUCAUUUUUGAUCAUAAAUACCUCAAAUCUCUUUUAUUACUUCAAUCAUAUUUUGAAUUGUUAUUGUUGUUAAGAUGGUUUUUGAAUAAAAAAUUAAACUAAAUAAAAAAGGCACACCCUGAUCAAUGUUGGUCAAACACAAAUCCGAAUUUAACAUAACAGCCAAAACAUGAGAGAAAUAUAUAUUUUAUGUGCAGUGUACCACAUUUUACAGUUGAUACAUGCAACCAGAGGUGAAACACAAAAUCAUGAGAUAAGUAAAUUUACCUACUUCCAGGCGCCUAUCGUUGUUUGUCAAAUUAUGUUCAAGGCAAUAUCAAAGCUUAUUCUGUUUCAUUUUUUUGUAUUCUAUAUUCUUUGUAAACAAUAUUCCUAUAUAUUGAUUUGACAGCCAAUUUGGAACCGGUUAUUUACUGCAGACAACAAUUCUCACCAAAAAUAUAAGGCGUAGAUUGAACAAUAUUUUUAUCAAAUUGGCCAAAGAGUCAAAAAAUAUUUUUCCCCAAGAAAUAUAAUUUUUUUAUUCAUUUUGAGUUUUAAUACAACCAAUUCAUCAACGGACUUAUUCGAAAUUAAUCGGAGUCAACAUGUGUAUUGUGACCCAUUGUUUUUAUUUUAUUAGUUUGAGAAAUGCUGGUCUCAUUCUGGGUGUGAUGAACAUUGGCAUUGAAAUGUUUUUUAUUGUCGUCGGUGCGAAAUUAGUUACUACAUGUGUAAUGCUGGUUUUUGUAGCAAAUUCUUUGGCAUGGAUUUACGGCAUAUUGAUCGACAAUCGAAAUUUUAUGCUACCGAAUCUAUUCCUCUAUCUAAUACUCGUGUUAUUUGUACCAUGGGUUUUUGUGGUAAUUGGUGCUUUUAGUGCCAUCGGUGGUAAACCCAUGAAAGAUUAUGAAGUGUUAAUUGGAUUAAUAAUUUCAGUGCUACCAAUAUACUUUUGGAUAGUACAAUAUUCUCUCUACAGGUCCAUGUCUAAACCAACACCCGAAGUAAGCAAUACAUUCAAUGAAUUCUCGAAUGAAGUUUAAACAUCGAAUCGCUACAAUUUUCGUGUCGAGCAAAUAUAAACAGACAGACAGACAAUAGUAGACAGACUAUUUUAACAUUUUGCAUGAAUUCAAUUAUAGCUUCAAUUAUAGCUUAUAUAUUUUUAUUACGAGACUAUUGAAAAAUACUCUACUCCUAAUUGGCAUUGAUUUAUGGUGCAAACAUAUUUUUUUAAAUUUAAGGGUACGACUUGUUCGUUUUUUAAAGAAUUCCCGUGAAGACUGUGACAUUAAAUAAUAAUCAAGAAUGUUUUCGAUCUUGUUGCAAGCAAAAAAACCAUAAUAAAUUUUCAU